AUGACUUUAUAAACAUUUGUAUGACAGAUUAGGGAGUUACAACUGCAUCAGAGAAUACAGUAAAAAGGCAUGUUCUCCACAAGACAUGAAACAGUGUUUCUACUCUUUUUCUUUCUUUUUUUUUUUUUUUUUUUUUUGCUUCAGACAACACUUUGUUCUAAUCAAGCAUGUUCAGUAAACGUUUAUGUAUUUGUGAAUCAGGCACGGAGGAAGAAGGUGGAAAGAGAAAUUCCUAAUCUCCCGGGGUGGAAAUUGUGAAGUAUUAAAUGGAUAUCUGAUGCAUAAAUACAAAUAACAUAAUCUCUCUAUUUUCUUCUGAGACAGUCACCAGUUACAAUAAUCCUAAAAUUAUCCCAUCUUCUCAAAUCCCUCAAGAUUUAUUAAUUUUCAUAAACUGCUUUGAUGGAAAUUUUCUUAAAAGAUGCAAAGUAACCUUUCUCGAGCUCUCCUUUUACUUCAGAUCAUGGACAGCAUUUUCAACCUCAGAAUACCAAAAGAAGAUUGCCCAUAUCCUGGCAAAUGCUCCUGCCUGGACAGGAAACAUGGGAGGAAUCCCUUGCUGAGACAUCAAGAUGGCUCCAGGUGAAAAUGGAUGGAGCUGACCAUGGGAAAUAUACUGGAAAUUCUUAAAGCAUUAUAUGGAAUCAUCUCUACAGACAGCCCUUCAUCAAAAAAACUGAAAACAUUAACAGACUGUGGGUAGCACAUCUGUUUAAAUUCAAGAAUAAAGAAGACUGUGUCAGCCUCA